rnacentral:misc_RNA from 1 species
GAUGAAGAACGCAGCGAAAUGCGAUAGGUAAUGUGAAUUGCAGAAUUCAGUGAAUCAUCGAAUCUUUGAACGCACAUUGCGCCCUUUGGUAUUCCUUAGGGCAUGCCUGUUCGAGCGUCACUACACACCUUAUCACAAUAUUUGUGGUCUUGGCAGGAGUGAAUUGCUGGUCUAUGGAAGUAUUCCAGCAGUACACAAUGCUAAAAAAUAUGGGAAGGUUACCAGAUAUGAACAACAGACUUUGUAAUUGGUUGUAGGACCUAGAUCAGUCACAAGUCAUGUCUGGUCCCUUACCUUAAGGACCCCCAUCCUAGAUGAACUAUGGGUUGACCUUGGAUCAGGUAGGAAUACCCGCUGAACUUAAGCAUAUCAAUAAGCGGAGGA